CUUGGGAGAUCGGGCAUGUCUUAGCUGUACAUCCCUGAGGCUGGCAAACAAAAUGACUGUACACUUUAAAUAUUGCACUAGUGUCCCUCCUGUUUACGCAUACUCCAGAAAAGAUCACUAUUGUUGUUGGACUAAAGGAUCUGAACAAAUACACUUUCCUCUUCAGAGCUCUUCUGGCUCGUGGACGCCACUAGCAACAAUGGGUAUUUUAGGUCCCCAGUAUCUUCCAGUUAGAUGGUGGCAUUCUUCACAUCCCCUUCAAGAUGACUCCAUAGUUGAAAAGUCACUGAAGUCCUUAAAGGACAAAAACAAGAAGUUGGAAGAAGGAGGUCCUGUAUAUAGUCCAACAGAAGUGGAAGUUGUGAAAAAAUCUAUUGGACAGAGGAUUGUGGAUGAACUGAAGCACUAUUACCAUGGUUUUCGAUUACUGUGGAUUGACACAAAAAUAGCUGCAAGGAUGCUCUGGCGAAUACUUCAUGGAAACACUUUGUCUCGUCGAGAACGGAGACAGUUUCUUCGAAUAUGUGCCGAUCUUUUCCGUUUGGUCCCUUUCCUAGUUUUUCUUGUUGUCCCAUUUAUGGAAUUUUUGCUUCCAGUAGCUCUUAAGUUGUUCCCUAAUAUGCUUCCCUCUACAUUUGAGACAAAGUCUAAAAAGGAGGAGAGAUUGAAGAAAGAAUUGAGAGUAAAGCUUGAAUUGGCUAAAUUCCUUCAAGACACAAUUGAGGAGAUGGCCUUAAAAAAUAAAGCAGCCAAAGGAAAUGUUACAAAAGAUUUUUCAACGUUCUUUCAAAAGAUCAGGGAAACUGGUGAAAGACCCAGUAAUGAGGAGAUCUUAAGGUUCUCUAAACUGUUUGAAGAUGAGUUGACUCUGGACAAUCUAACCAGGCCUCAGUUGGUGGCACUUUGUAAAUUGUUGGAACUUCAGUCAAUUGGGACAAAUAACUUUCUCCGCUUCCAGCUGACUAUGAGGUUGAGAAGCAUUAAAGCAGAUGACAAGCUGAUUGCUGAAGAAGGAGUUGAUAGCCUGACUGUUAAAGAACUGCAGGCAGCUUGUCGUGCCCGAGGUAUGAGAGCUCUUGGUGUGACAGAGGAGCGUCUCAAGGAACAGCUUAAACAGUGGUUAGAUCUGCACCUGAACCAGGAAAUCCCUACUUCGUUGCUUAUCUUAUCCAGAGCCAUGUAUCUUCCAGAUACGCUUUCUCCAGCUGAUCAGCUUAAAACAACGCUUCAGACACUACCAGAGAGUGUUGCCAAAGAGGCUCAAGUCAAAGUGGCAGAAGUUGAAGGUGAAAAAGUAGAUAACAAAGCACGGCUGGAAGCAACACUUCAGGAAGAGGAAGCCAUCAGAAAAGAAAAUGAAGAAAAAGAGAUGGAAAGAUUGUCUGAAGCUGCAGAGAAAGCCAAAGAAACCCUUCAAGUUGCAGCCAUGAAAGAGGUGGAAUCAGCAGUAGAUCUUGAAGCAGCUGCUCUGCAAGUUAAAAAAAGUGAGAUGGCUAUGGAUACUGAACAAGAACUGGCAAGGGCAGAUAUGGCGAUGCACUCAGAGACACUGAAAGAUACAGCACCAGUAUUGGAAGGCAUUAAGGGUGAGGAAAUCACUAAGGAGGAGAUUGACAUGCUGAGUGAUGCUUGCACCAAGCUGCAGGAACAGAAAAAAUCAUUAACAAAGGAGAAGGAGGAGCUUGAGGAAUUGAAGGGUGAUAUCCAGGAGUAUAGUGAGGAUUUGCAAGAGAUAAAAGAGCUCUCUAAAACUGGCCAGGAAGAAGCAGUGGAAGAGUCAAAGGCAAGCAAGCGAUUGACCAAGAGGGUGAACCGAAUGAUUGGUCAGAUAGACAAAAUUAUUAAUGAAUUAGAGACAAGUCAAAAGACGGUGGAUGUAAAGCUGGACGGUGGUGAUAGUCCUCCUGCUGGCUGCUUGCCAUGUACACAUUGUGCUUCCUCUCCAGGGAGAAUCUCAUCAGUAUUGCUGAGCUAAUUAAUGCGAUGAAACAAAUCCAGAAGAUUCCAGAGGAGAAGCUAACUAGGAUUGCAGAGGCACUAGAUGAAAAUAAGGAUGGCAAGAUUGAUAUAGAUAAUGUUGUUAAGGUAGUAGAAUUGAUUGACAAAGAAGAUAUCGAUAUUGGCACCAGUCAGGUUGCUGAGAUUAUGGCACUGCUUCAAAAAGAAGAAAAACUGGAAGAAAAAGAGAAAGCAAAGGAAAAGCACGAUAAAGAAGCUGCAGAAGCAAAGAAUUGAGCUUCAGAAUCUGAAGCUAAUCCCAACUGUAACCAAAACCUUGUAUAUCUUUCUGUGUCUAAUGGCUACGUAUUACUUGAGCUUUGUGAUUAUGGGAAGUGUUUUGAGCUGAUUCUAGUAAUAAAUUAUAGAUAUGUUUUCUGA